rnacentral:rRNA from 1 species
UACGUAGGGGGCUAGCGUUGUCCGGAAUCAUUGGGCGUAAAGAGCGCGUAGGCGGCCAGAUAAGUCCGGUGUGAAAGUCAAAGGCUCAACCUUUGAAUGCCGCUGGAAACUGUCUGGCUAGAGUCCGGGAGGGGCGAGUGGAAUUCCUGGUGUAGCGGUGAAAUGCGCAGAUAUCAGGAGGAACACCGGUGGCGAAGGCGGAUCUCUGGGCCUUGCCUGACGCUGAGGCGCGAAAGCUAGGGGAGCGAACAGG